GAGAAGAAUGACAUUUUUAACUCAAAAAAUCCGGAAGAAGACAAGGUAAAAUUGGGAGAGCCAGGAUGGAAGGAAAGGUAUUACGAAGAAAAGUUUUCUGCAAAAACUCCCGAGGAACUUGAAGACAUACGAAAGGAUGUUGUUUUGAGGUACACUGAGGGGCUAUGUUGGGUCAUGCACUAUUACUAUGAAGGAGUUUGCUCUUGGCAGUGGUUUUACCCCUAUCAUUAUGCACCCUUUGCUUCUGACCUCAAAGAUCUAGAUCAGAUGAACAUUCAGUUUGAGCUAGGCUCCCCAUUCAAGCCAUUCAAUCAGCUUUUAGGAGUUUUUCCUGCUGCAAGUGCCCAUGC
rnacentral:misc_RNA from 1 species